GCCAGGCGUGGUGGCUCACGCCUGUAAUCCCAGCACUUUGGGAGGCUGAGGUGGGCGGAUCACCUGAGGUCAGGAGUUCGAGACCAGCCUGGCCAACAUGGUGAAACCCUGUCUCUA
ensembl:misc_RNA Metazoa_SRP Metazoan signal recognition particle RNA